rnacentral:rRNA from 1 species
UGGUGCCAGCAGCCGCGGUAAUUCCAGCUCCAAUAGCGUAUAUUAAAGUUGUUGCAGUUAAAAAGCUCGUAGUUGAAUUUCGGGAUCAGCAGGUUGGUCGUGCCUCUGGUAUGCACUGGUUUCGCUGAUUCCUCCUUUCUGAAGAACUGUAAUGUCAUUAAUUUGGUGUUGCAGGGAAAUAGGACUGUUACUUUGAAAAAAUUAGAGUGUUUAAAGCAGGCUAACGCUUGAAUACAUUAGCAUGGAAUAAUGAAAUAGGACGUUUGAUCCUAUUUUGUUGGUUUCUAGGAUUGACGUAAUGAUUAAUAGGGAUAGUUGGGGGCAUUAGUAUUCAAUUGUCAGAGGUGAAAUUCUUGGAUUUAUUGAAGACUAACUACUGCGAAAGCAUUUGCCAAGGAUGUUUUCAUUAAUCAAGAACGAAAGUUAGGGGAUCGAAGACGAUCAGAUACCGUCGUAGUCUUAACCAUAAACUAUGCCGACUAGGGAUCGGAUGAUGUUAAUUUUUUAAUGACUCAUUCGGCGCC